GAAAAGCAAUUGCAGUAAAUUGAUGCACAAAACUAAAUUUUCUGCAUCGAACAUCGCUUUCUACAUUUGAAUUCUAUCUGAUGCACCAAUACUAGCCAAGAAGGUUCCAGUCAGUUGAGUGUGGGAUCUCAUGGAAAAUCCUGGGAGACAACCUGCAUUCUACACAUCAGUGGCAAGUGUCUCAUAGUCCUGGGCCACGUCUUGUGAAGCUGAAAUAAUAACAACAUUGACAUUAGAAAUGGUGAUAAUCUUGAAUCAUGGAAAGAGAGCAAGGCUGAACAAAAAUACAUAUGGAUACAUUGUAAUGAAUUAACCUUGUUAAGGAAUA